AAGUCGUAACAAGGUUUCCGUAGGUGAACCUGCGGAAGGAUCAUUAACACGUUCUUACGUAUUCACACCUGUGAAUCCGUCUGAUAAGUCUUUGUAGAGAAUGAUGUGUUAGCCGAGACAUAUGAUAGUGGGAAAUGCUUUCAGAAUUGAUUGGUAGUGAACUGCCUUGAUCACGUAGUAAGUUACUUUGAUCAGACUUGAAAAGCAAAUCUCGUCUCGGAUAGUCUGCUGUCUCUUUCCGUCUUAAAAGAGAUGACGCAUUCUUUAUAAUGACUCUAAUUACUAUCAUGUCUCACUCUGAGUAACCCAAUUGACUGAACAGAACAGCUGGUCGAAAGGCCUUUUGUUAUUUACGGAAACGUAUUUUACAACUGUUAGCAAUGGAUAUCUCGGCUCUC
rnacentral:misc_RNA from 1 species